rnacentral:rRNA from 1 species
CCCAGACUCCUACGGGAGGCAGCAGUGAGGAAUAUUGGUCAAUGGGCGAGAGCCUGAACCAGCCAAGUCGCGUGAGGGAGUACUGCCCUAUGGGUUGUAAACCUCUUUUGUCGGGGAGCAAAAGCCGGACGUGUCCGGCUGUGAGGGUACCCGAAGAAAAAGCAUCGGCUAACUCCGUGCCAGCAGCCGCGGUAAUACGGAGGAUGCGAGCGUUAUCCGGAUUUAUUGGGUUUAAAGGGUGCGUAGGCGGCAUUAUAAGUUAGUGGUAAAAUAUUGGGGCUUCACCUCACUACGCCAUUAAUACUGUAGAGCUAGAGAACAGACGAGGUAGGCGGAAUAAGUUAAGUAGCGGUGAAAUGCAUAGAUAUAACUUAGAACACCGAUAGCGAAGGCAGCUUACCAGACUGAGUCUGACGCUGAUGCACGAGAGCAUGGGUAGCGAACAGGAUUAGAUACCCCCGUAG